CUUUAUAUCAAGGAAGAUAAAAAUGUAUUACAAGGACAUUGACAAACAUCAAUAUUCUGAUCUUCCGCCUUCUGGCCAUCAAUAUAACACUUCACAUCCCACAUCUUCGGGAUAAAAGGAACUAAAAAAAACCUACAAAACAAUCUCGAUAUCUCGAUUUAACAAACGUCGGAAUCACACAUCCCACAUCUUCGGGAUAAAAGGCUACAGAAACUAAAAAAUAUACCUACAAAGCAAUCUCGACAUCUUUAACAAACGCCGGAAUCACACAUUCCACAUCUUCGGGAUAAAAGUCUACAGGAACUAAAAAAAAUACCUACAUAAUAUACUCGACAUCUUUAACAAACGCCGGACUCACACAACCCACAUCUAAUAAACGUCAAAACUUUUUCCAUUGUAGAAUUGGGAAAUACUCAAACAUGAAAUUCGUCCGAAAAAUAUGAAAGAAAAAAAUCGAGAAGCCAUAAAAUUUUAUUCAUAAUAGUGUGAAUAAAAUUACAGAUCGUAGGACAAAUGACAUCCGCACACAUAAAAAAAAAUCACAC
rnacentral:lncRNA from 1 species